UACAGAGGGUGCGAGCGUUAAUCGGAAUUACUGGGCGUAAAGCGUGCGUAGACGGUUAUUUAAGUCGGGUGUGAAAGCCCCGGGCUCAACCUGGGAACUGCAUCUGUGACUGCAUAGCUAGAGUACGGUAGAGGGGGGUGGAAUUCCACGUGUAGCAGUGAAAUGCGUAGAGAUGUGGAGGAACACCGAUGGCGAAGGCAGCCCCCUGGGCUGAGAUUGACGCUCAGGCACGAAAGCGUGGGGAGCAAACAGG
rnacentral:rRNA from 1 species